rnacentral:ncRNA from 12 species
UGAUUCCGUGUCUGUGGUUGAAAAUCCAGGCCAGUCGCAGGCAAAAGGAUCCACGUAAGCAGACCGUUCGCGGGCUGUGAGCAUGGUGCGGUUUAGAUGUAAGACCUGCGGAAAAUACUAUACCCUUCAUGUCCGCAGGCGAGUGUGGGGGCAAAGACCAGGUCAGACGGAAUCU